rnacentral:sRNA from 1 species
AGGGAGGGGGAGGUUGCUCUCCGCACACUCAUAUAUUAGGUCUCGGUGCAAAGGAGGAAGGCUGCAGAAGCCGCAGCAGCAGGGUUUCGGGCACAGAUGCUAACUAGUGCGUGUGACCACCGUGGUCAGGAGGACUUUGAAGAGGCAAUCUAUUUAUGCACAGAACACUCUAGCUCUGCUAACCCUGAGAGAGCAAACACCCCUUGUUCUCUCAUUUAGAGACUUGAAUCUUCUUGGCACUCAACACUUCCAAGGCACAGCUACCACAGAUGCUGCUGUUGUAGGAACACCUGUGCUUCCCACAAGGACAUAGGACCCAGAAGGAAGGAGAGUCUCUCACAGACUUCUACCGAUGGAAUUUAACUGAAGUUGUUGGAAGCUGCUAGAAGCCUGUCUCAUUCACCAGUGCCCAGUUGUUACAUAACCCUGUGCUCGGCAGAAGGACUGGAUGCAUAUGAGGAGAAUACAUUGACCAGAGGUAAAUGGAGUAAUUAUUUGUUUCUGCUGGGAGAGUCAAACACAUAAGGUAGAGUUUCUGUCUGCUUUUGUAUUUACUUAAAAAUGAUUUCGAGUUUUGAUCUCAUUAAGGUUUAAAAGCUCAUCAGGUGAAAUCGCUCACGUAUUUGUGAAUAUUGAUAUUAAAACACACAUAUAUGCAUUCCUUAUUUAAGAUGUCUCUCGUGUUGGUAUCUCUCUGCCCCUCUACAUAGAUAUUGAAAUCUUAGUAAUAUUAAUAACUUUAAUCUAGACUUCUCUGGACCUCAGGUAUACUGUUCAAUUGCAUGUGGGAUAGCUCCCUUAGGAGGUCUUGAAGCACUUCACAAUCAACAUAAUAUAACUUGUCUCCUAAGUAUCUGACUAAGUAUCUGACUUUAUUCCAUGGAAAUACCAAUUCCCUUCAUCCAUUUAGAUUAAGCACAGGCCUUGAAGCCUCUUGGAUCAGUUCUUUUCUGCUUUGCUCAUGUCCAAUCCUGGAUCUUAUCCUCCAUGCACACACCUGCUCCAAACUGCUCACUUUACCUACUAUAUCCAGUAGCCUCCUUGACUUCCAUCUCUGACUGUCCUGCUUCAACUCAGUCACACAAAACAGGUGAAAUUUCCACUUCAGAACUGGAACAUCUUCUCACUUAAGUCUUUGUGCUAUCCUAUCCCUUUUAGGUUAAAAUUAACCCGCUCAUUAGCCUCACCUCCAUGACUCCAAGUCAUCUAUCUAUCUAUCUAUCUAUCUAUCUAUCUAUCUAUCUAUCUAUCUAUCCACAUUACCCCCCCCCCACUCCAGCCUUGU